rnacentral:lncRNA from 1 species
UUCAACAGGGACUCCCGAUGAAUGUUGUGCCUUAUGGGAUCGAGACUAAAGGUGUCAUGAGUAUUAUCAACUUACGGCCAAGAUAUCCUACAGCUUACUUUAGUGCAUUCAAGAUUAGCGACGGAUGCUUAAUAGUGCAAGACUGGACCAAAUAUGUGUUGGGGGAGCGCAGAGAAGUACUAGGGAGCAGCAACCAGAGACGCCUUCCACGAUUAGGAGACAGGUUCAUCUGCAUGCUUCAACUUGAUCAAGGAGGAGAGCUAUACAUGUUUUAUGUUCUUUUACCUAAGAGAGAGCAGCAGGAGUGAGUAGCAGGAGUGAGUAGCUGGCUAGAAAUGAGUUUCAGGAUGAUGAUGUGCUACACUAUUACUAUGAUGAUAAAAUAGCUAGUGUUCGUGGUAAUGACUACGAUGUUUAUUAUUAGCUAGUGUUAGUGGUGAUUAAAUAAAUAAUGUUGAUGGUAAUGACCAUGAUGAUGAUUAAAUAUCUUGUGCUGGCGGAUUAGAUUCAAGUGAAGGCAACAUGUGGUGCACAUCGAAAGUACUACUAAUCCAAAGUAGAUCAAGUUUGGAUUAGUAGUAUACUUUUGACAUGCACCACAUAUUGCCUCCACUUAAACCUAAUCCACCUUCAUUUAAUACACUGUUAUGGACAUAAUGAUGUAAACCUCAUAACAGCUGGUAUUGUACCAAUAUUUGUAUGAUGGCGCAUAAAUACACUAAAAAUAAAAAAAUUAUAAAAAAAAAUACUAGUAGCGAUGGAAAGGAAACACGCUGCAAGUAGAUAACUUAGCAGUAGCGCUGUACUGAACAAGCGCUGCAGCUAUUUGUACUAGCAGUAGCGCGUGAUGGCACGCGUUACUGCUAAGCAAUAGUUGUAGUGCCUUAUUAGUAGCGCGGCUUCCCGCGCUACUAGUAGGCACAAAACACGCGCUACUGCUAGGGUUUUCCCUAGUAGUGACA